rnacentral:rRNA from 1 species
CCCUUAGAUGUUCUGGGCCGCACCCGCGCUACACUGGCAGGUUCAUCGAGCUUCAUGCCCUGAUCUGAGAAGAACGGGAAAUCUUUGAACACCUGCCGUGCUUGGGAUAGAUGUUUGCAAUUAUUCAUCUUCAACGAGGAUUGCCUUGUAAGCGCACGUCAUCAACGUGCAUUGAAUACGACCCUGUAUUCUGUACACACCGCCCGUCGCUCCUACCGAUUGAAGUUUUCGGUGAAUUUACUGGAGAUCCCUUUUGAAGGUGGUUCGCCACUGGAAGAAGUAUUCAAAAGUAAAUGAAUCGAAUGCUUUAGAGGAAGGAGAAGUCGUAACA